rnacentral:rRNA from 1 species
UACGAAGGGGGCUAGCGUUGCUCGGAAUCACUGGGCGUAAAGGGUGCGUAGGCGGGUCUUUAAGUCAGGGGUGAAAUCCUGGAGCUCAACUCCAGAACUGCCUUUGAUACUGAGGAUCUUGAGUUCGGGAGAGGUGAGUGGAACUGCGAGUGUAGAGGUGAAAUUCGUAGAUAUUCGCAAGAACACCAGUGGCGAAGGCGGCUCACUGGCCCGAUACUGACGCUGAGGCGCGAAAGCCAGGGGAGCAAACGGG